CCUACGGGAGGCAGCAGUAGGGAAUAUUGCUCAAUGGGCGAAACCCUGAAGCAGCAACGCCGCGUGGAGGAUGAAGGUUUUAGGAUUGUAAACUCCUUUUGUUAGAGAAGAUUAUGACGGUAUCUAACGAAUAAGUACCGGCUAAAUCCGUGCCAGCAGCCGCGGUCAUACGGCGGGUGCAAGCGUUACUCGGAAGUACUAGGCGUAAAGGGUGCGUUGGCGGGGUAAUAAGUCAGAUGUGAAAUCCUGUAGCUUAACUACAGAACUGCAUUUGAAACUGUUAUUCUGGAGUGUAGGAGAGGUAGGUGGAAUUCUUGGGGUAGGGGUGAAAUCCGUAGAGAUCACGAGGAAUACUCAUUGCGAAGGCGACCUGCUGGAACAUUACUGACGCUGAUGCACGAAAGCGUGGGGAGCAAACAGGAUUAGAUACCCUAGUAGUC
rnacentral:rRNA from 1 species